GCCGGGUGUGGUGGUGCACACCUGUAGUCCCAGCUACACAGGAGGCUGAGGCAGGAUGAUCUCUUGAGCCCAGGAGGUUGAGGCUGCAGUGAGUCGUGUUUGUGCCACUGCACUCCAGCCUGGGUGACAGAGCAAGACUCUGUCUCAA
ensembl:misc_RNA Metazoa_SRP Metazoan signal recognition particle RNA